GUUGAGAAUAGAAAAACAAAAAAAAUUUCUUCUGGAGUUUGUCAAAAGGGUGUUGUGUUAUGCUUCAUUUUAAGAGCAGUUAAGAGGAGCUGAUCGCUUUUUUUAUUUCUGCACAGGGCCCCCAAAAGUUACAGCACGGCGCUGUAAGGAAUAGAAAGUUAAGAAAAUUUCUUCUGCAAUUUGUCAAAAGAGUGUUGUUCUAUGCUUCAUUUUAAGGUAUCUAAAUGUGUAUUUAUUAGAAAUUUUUAAUUUUGUUCUUAAAUGGUUUCUUCUUUUUCAUUGCUUUAGAUUAAUAUAUACUGACUGAUAUAACUUCAUUUUUAUUAACAAUAAUGUGCAUUGUAUCUUCAUUCUUUGUUACAUUAAAAAUAAUUGAUGCUAAUAAAUGUUGUUUUAUAGUUGUUAAAAGAUUGCAUAUAAGUUUGCAUGUAUAUUAUGCUCAAAGUUUAAAAUUUUUUGAUAAAUACAUGUAUGGGGUGAUAUAUGUUGUAUAGUUGUUUUAUAAAUAUG